GAUGAACGCUGGCGGCGUGCCUAAUACAUGCAAGUCGAACGAAUCUUCUUCGGAAGAUGAGUGGCGAACGGGUGAGUAAUACAUAGGUAACCUGCCCCUGUGCGGGGGGUAACAGGAGGAAACUCCUGCUAAUACCGCAUAGCCAUGAGCACCGCAUGGAGCUCAUGCCAAAUAUCCUUUCGGGGAUAGCGCAGGGAUGGACCUAUGGCGCAUUAGCUGGUUGGCGGGGCAACGACCCACCAAGGCAACGAUGCGUAGCCGGCCUGAGAGGGCGGACGGCCACAUUGGGACUGAGACACGGCCCAGACUCCUACGGGAGGCAGCAGUAGGGAAUUUUCGGCAAUGGGGGAAACCCUGACCGAGCAACGCCGCGUGAGCGAAGAAGGCCUUCGGGUCGUAAAGCUCUGUUGUAAAGGAAGAACGGCGCAUACAGGAAAUGGUAUGCGAGUGACGGUACUUUACCAGAAAGCCACGGCUAACUACGUGCCAGCCGCCGCGGUAAGAC
rnacentral:rRNA from 1 species